rfam:Otolemur garnettii contig056378, whole genome shotgun sequence.
ACCACACAUGGUGGUGUGUGCCUGUAGAAUCAGCUACUUGGGAGGCUGAGACAGGAGGAUCGUUUUAGCCCAGGAGUUCUGGGCUGUAGUGCACUUGCCGAUCGGGUGUCCACACCUAAGUUCAGCAUCAACACAAUGACCUCCCAGGAGCAGGGGGGCACAAAGUUGCCUAAGGAGGGGUAAACUGGCCCAGGUCAGAAACAGAGGAGGUCAAAACUCCCAUGCUGAUCAGUAGUGGGAUCGCGCCUGUGAAUAGCCACUGCACUCCAGCCUGGGCAACAUAGCAAGACCCCAUCUCUU